GUCCACACAUCAGUGUUGUAAACACUUCUCCAAUUAAUUAUAUAAUUAUGUUUUCACACUGAGGGAAGUGGAGAGACUUGAUGUGGACUGUUAUCAACAGCUCUGUGGGAGAUCAUCACCUUGAAUAUUACAGAUGAGGUAGAAAGACAUUUUAUCUAUGUGUACAAUGUUGUAUUUCUUUGUCACGUUUUAUCAAAAGCGAUUUAAAGUAUGUGCAUUUAACCAUUAGGAUACAAACCCAGACCCUAGUACAUCGGUUCUAGCUGAAAUAAGUAGUGCUUCAUAAACAACACAAAACAUUCAUAACAGUACGCUUCUGCUCCUCAUUAAUGCAGCUCCUGAUGUCCCCAGCAGCAACAUGGUGGAGAUCUGCAGCUUCAUGCUGGUCAACUGGAAGACAACUGAUUAAGAUUAAAAGAUUAAGAUUAAAAUCCAUUUAUUCAUCCCAAACACAUGCACAGACAUGCAAAGGCACACUCAUGCAGAUGAAGAACUGCAGCACCUGAUGUCCUCAGCAGCAACAUGGUGGAGAUCUGAUUUGAUACACUUUAGAUAAGAACCCAGUGUUUUAUAUUUCUGCUUUGCCAUAAGAGACAGAACAUGGUCAUCACAGCUGUGUCCUUCAGGCUCGUCUGUCCCUAAUAAAAUGAUAGGAAACAUGAAAGUGAUCGUCAUUAUUGUAGAGGAAGAGUUACAUAUGAACAAAGUGUGUAAUCUUAUUUUCUGUGGAUAUUCAACUGUGUAUUUGAAUAUGCUUUUGGAUUAAAACGUGCACUACCA